rnacentral:lncRNA from 1 species
UAGUCUUUCUGUCGGUCCGUACGACCGCCAAUAUAACUCCUCCGCCAUUAUACCGGGUAGAAUGACAAAUGAGGUGUCAAAUAAAAGCUUGUGGGUGAAAACCUAGGACUUACGAAGUCCAAUUUAAAAAUAGGGCAUAUCAGAGAUAUGCCUUAGACAUCAUAGAAGACAAUGUCACAGAAAAAUCAAACAAGCAAUAUGUCAAAAGGGCCUUAGUUAUGUAUCUUCGGUCCUGUUGGUCCAAUCGUGAUGUAUAGCACCUCAAAUGAUAGGAUUUGACAAACAGAAUACAAUGAGAGAAAAAUAAAAUACAACAGCAUGUCAAAAGGGCCUCAGUCGCGUAUCUUCGGUCCUAUUAGUCCAAUCGUGACGUACGGUAUCUCAAAUAAUAGGACUUGACAAAUAGAAUACAAUGACACAGAAAAAUCAAAUACAGCAACAAAUCAAAAGGGCCCUAGUUAUGUAUAUCUAGUCCUAUUGGUCCAAUCGUGACGUACAGCACCUCAAAUGAAAGGGUUUAACGAACAGAAUACAAUGACACAGAAAAA